AAAUAGAAAAUUAUUUUUAUUUUUAUCCAAAAAAUACAAAUAAAUCCACAGGUCUGGAGCUUGGGGACAGAAGGGAGUGGUGAGAGUGAGGCUGGGGAGGUGGCUGAGGUCCAGUAGGUGGGAUCGUGUUGCCGUCCCAAGGGGUGUUGCUUGGGAGUGCACAGGGGCACUGGUGGGUUUUCAGAAGUCAAGGUCAACCAGAUUAGUAAUCGGGAGAGAUCAAUCAGGAGGUAACGUAAGCUGGAGACCCAGGAAAGCAACUCCUUAGGAGAUUUUCCAGGAAGAAGGAAGGGGCCGGGCCAGGGCACUAGGACCCAGUGACUGGACCCACAGGGACAUCAGGGACAUUGACUGGGAGUCAGACCAGAGGGUGUGGUCAACCUUUGAGUCCUCCUCUGCCAAUGGUGGAAUGAUAAGGUGACUUUCUCCGUGACAGGAGGCCUUGCCUCCAAUGUCUGACCUUGCUCAAUUUCCAUGGCCUCGUGCCACAGCCUGUCCACUCAGGGUCCUCAUGGCAUAGCUGGAGGUGCACAGCACCCAUAACUCCAUGACUGGUGAUGUGGAGGGGUGUUCUCACUGCCCUGUGAUUUCUAGGCAUUGUUACUCAUCCCUACACCUCCAACCCAAAGAGCAAGUCCACCCAGAGACUUGAGUCCUAGUCCUUGUGGCUUGCUGCGGGACAAUGGGGCAGUCAUUUCCCUCCAUGGCUUCAGAGCUGACAUAAUAACUGAAUGAGGGUCACUUGUGAAAAUGCACCCCAAGUGUGUAGAUACGUAGGACCCCUGUCAUCAUGGGCGCUUGGUACCGCAUGUGCUCCAGCUAAGGACUCCAUACAUAGCUGCAACUGCACUAAGGUGUGAACUUCCCUUGUCCACCAGGGGGCAGCAGAGAACUUCCCGAAAGAACCACCGGAGUUUGCUCACAGAUUGUUCUGUACAGAUGGAGACAGAGGCCAGGAGCAAAGGCUCAAAGAGCUACAAUGCGGGCUCGUGUCCAGGCUUCCUUGCCCCAAGCCUACUUAAAAUCCCCUGAUCUUAGGCCACGUUCUUUAGACACUUGGAGCUGAUGAGUCUCCCUUCAUUGGACUCUUCACAGCCGAAGUCAGGCCUAUUUCUCCCUUCCCCAGCCAAGGGUCACCUCAGCGUCUGCUAUAUCAAGUCCAGACCUUCUCUCCCUCCUUGGGGCCCAGCACUGUGCUGGGUGCAUAAUAGGCGCUCAGCCAACAGUGCUGACUGACUUACUCAGAACCAUGGGGGAGAUUUAGGUCGGAUCCCAAGAAGGACCACCCACGCAGAAGACAGCUGAGGGAGACUGGGAAAUUGGACUCACCACAUCCAAAACCCCUUAACCUUAUGUCCAAUGAAUGAGCAAAGGAAGGAAUGACUGGGCUCUCAAUGGCAAAAUUUAUAAAGCAAAGACCCCUUGCUCUGUGGUGGCUUGUCUUCGAGUCAUCAAAUUUGAGUUUGUCUGUGUAUUAUGGCCUGGAGUACACCCAAGGCAUUGUCCAACAUGCUGUGAUGAUUAAGCUGCUGAACUUUAUAUCCAGACAGACCUGGGUUCUAGUCAUGACUGCAACCCUUUCCUGCCUGUUUGAUCUUAGCUAAGUGACUUCACCUUUCUUUCUCUUCUGUUAAAUGGGGUUAAUAAGAGCUCAUAGCGGUGUAUGAGAAUUAAAUGAUGAGAAGCAUGUCAUGUCCUUGCUCCUUGGAGAGAGCUUAGUCAAUAAUAAACGUUGGCCCUGGGUCGGGGUGCCCUUAGAUGUUGUCAAUCCAGGUUCCUGAUUGCAGGAGUGGGUGGCUUAGCCUGGAGAAGCACUCCUGCCCUUAUAAUCUUUGGAGCUCAGAGUGUCUUUGAGAUCAGAGCGCCCUGGGGACAGAGCUUGUGGCCCAGGAUCUAGCUCCUUUUGCACCCCUGAGGAAAGGGUUACCAAAGAAUAAACUUCCAAAGGCCUUGUCUGUGUCCAGGAAGGGGACGCAGGCAUAUUCCUGCUUGUUGCAGGCCAAUCUUAUUGUCCAUUGAAGCAGGACCUCCAGGAACCUGCCCCAACUCCUGGCUGACCGAGUUGAUGCAACCCAGCAUCUCUGGAAGGACUAAAAUUGCUCUUUCCUGAAACCACGAGGCAAGCUGAGCUCUCUGGAAAUUCCCACCGGCCUUUCUUCAGUGAAGACAAAUGGAUUUCUCUGAAUCAGUUGCCUUGGAAGGGCAGUGGGAACUCUUCCCUGGCUCUUGCCCUUGGGCGACAGAGUACUUCUUUCCACUCCUUUCCCUGGAAGAAUCUGUGUUAGGAGGGUCUCCCUGGAGGAAGGAGCCAGCCGAGCUGGAUGUCAACAAGUUCAUGAGUCUGUAGUAAUGAGAGUCCAGAAGUUGACACAAUUCCUCCCCCGCAAGUAAUGAUAGAAUGUUUGUGCUGAAAGCAUCCGUUAGUAAUAAUAACAGCAAUAACAACUAGCAUUUAUUUAGCACUAACCAUGUGCCAGGCUCUGUUCUGAACAGUUUAUACGAAUUCACUUCUAGUUCUCACAUCAUCCCCUGUGAGCAUGUAUUAACUCCUCAUAGGGUAAACCAAUUUUAUCCCCACUUUACAGAGGAGGAAACUGGGGUUCAAAGAGAUUCACUCUUUUGCCCAGCCUCCCACAGCUGGUAUGUUGGGCAGACAGAGGGUGAGAAAGGGAGAGGGUUUGCCCAAAGUUCUGUAGCCUGGAGACCACAGAGAUGUCCUGCCUCCACCCAGGGCCCUGCCCCAUGGAGAAAGACUGGGCUGCAGGGCUGCACUUCUAAUUGUCUAGAUUCCAGCUCAGGCACCGGGUAGUUUUUAGAGAAUCCCUUUGGUAUUGGGGUGGUGAAGGAUCCACCACCGGCGGGGAGGUUGAGAAAGUCCCUUCCUCUGCCUCGUCAAAGUGCCUCUGCGUGGUCUGGCCUUGCUGGAUCGUGCCGGGCUUUGGUGGAGAACAAUGUCUCUAGGAAGGCACCCCAACUAUCCUCAGGGGUUCCUAAGUUGGACAGAAGCUGAUCCUCUACCUGUCCUUCCUCUGUGGUCCCACUGGGUGGCACCUGGCAUGGUGGUUGAGGCCAGCCAGGUUCAAAUCCCGCUUCUGCCACCCACUGGCUGCGUGACCUUGGGCAAGUUCUGAGGCCCUUCCUGCCUUGGUUUCCUCACUGCAACAUGACAAUACUGACAGUACCUACUUCUCAGAGUUGUGAGAAAUGAGCGAGCUAACACAUGGCAAGCGCUGGGAGCAGUGCCUGGCACCAGAGAAACUUGCUAAUUGCUAUUAUUUGUUCCCUUGCCUCCUGAUUGUCACUUUGCUUGUCCUUUCCCCCACUUGGUUGGAAGCUUCUUGGUUCUUGAGAAAGACACGUCUGCCCAACUUUCAAAAAAGUCCUCUCAAAGGUCUUCUUUGCCGGCCCGUGUAGAUGCCAGUGACAGCCAGGGACUUGUCUGACAUACACAAGAGGUCUGUGUCAAGGCAGGCUUUGAACCCAGGUCUCCAGAUUCCAGUCAUGGUCUCCAACCCCAGCACUAACCCAUCUACAAGUUCCAGUAGCUUCCAGUCUGUGGUUCAUAACAAGACCACGCCUACUUGCCCGACCUGCCCUGCCAUGCUUGUUUGCCUAAAAUAAAGGAAGAUGAGUCGCUGGAUGCUAAACAAGAAGAUAGAAAUGGAAAAAGGACAUUGAAGAGGACACAGAAUAUGCCAUGAAGGGGCUGAAUCCUAUCAGAAACGGGCUGGAAAUGAAUAUGAAUUUGGAGCAAAUGUGUCAUUAGGCAAAGAGAAGAAAGACCUUGUGGGAGGGAAAGCAGGCCCAUUUGGGAUGCUGAGAGAAGGCUGGUAUGGCUGAAGCAACAGGAUGUUCUUGGCAAGAGGGUCUUCACAAACUCUCAUAACGACUCCAAGUUUUGGGGUCCAUCUGGGAGUUGGCCCCCCAGACAAGGCCUCACAGCCUUUUAUGUACAAGUGUCCACAGGAGUGCUCUUCUAGAAGCUUGUGCCAUCCAACUGCAACGCUUUCUGCCAUGCUCCUCAUCGUGCAAUGAGAGGGGGCUGAGAGUUGGGAUCCCCAAGGAUCUGGAAAACUCAACCAAGGAUCUGGGCAGCCAGCACUCUAGAAACCCAUGGGUGGCCUUCAGAACUCUGGUGAAUGUCCCUUACCCACUACAUCCCUGCCCAGCCAAAGAUUCCAGAGAAUCCCUCCCGACUUGUCUACAGUGUUUUAAAAUUUCAGAAAGAUCUUCUAGGGGUUUGGAAUCCUGGAAAAUUCCUGUAGUGUCUCAGGAUUUCCAAGAGCUUCCCCCAAUUCUAAUGUUCCGAAGUAGCAGAGACUUUCUUUUGACAGUUCUUGAGAACUACUACCAUGUUUCGGGGUCUAGAGAACUGCCCCCAGGUUCCAGCAAUCUGCAGAAGGCCUGUAGAUUGCAGGGCUCCAGAAGUGUCCUUCUGAGUCCACAAGUUCUCGGUAAGUACCAAAUGAAUUUGAAGGGUCUUGAUACAUUACUGGGAUCCUUUGGAAUUCCCUCAGGGUUUAGGGAUCCUAGAAUUAUGGCAGUUCUAGAGGGAGGAUGCUGACUGUAUUAGUCUGUUCUCAUGCUGCUAAUAAAGACAUACCCAGGACUGAGUGAUUUAUAAAGAAAAAGAGGUUUAAUGGACUCACAGUUCCACAUGGCUGGGGAGGUCUCACAAUCAUGGCAAAAGGUGAAUAAGAAGCAAAGGCCCGUCUUACGUGGUGACAGGCAAGAGAGCAUGUGCAGGGAAACUGCCCUUUAUAAAACCAUCAGAUCUUGUGAGACUUAUUCACUAUCACGAGAACAACACGGGAAAAACCCCAGCCCCAUGAUUCAAUUACCUCCCACCAGGUCCCUCCCACAAUACAAAGGAAUUAUAGGAGCUACAAUUCAAGAUGAGAUUUGGGUGGGGACACAGCCAAACUAUGUCACUGACUGAGAGAUGGAUGCAUGACUUAUGAGACAAGGGUAGUGAAGGCCAGUCUCCUCGAGUCCUACGACUCUCUCUGGAAAAGGAUGUGGGGUUUUGCCGAGCUGGAGUGUGAACUGGAACCAGGAAACUGGAAAAUCGUGGCUGGCUCCAGCGGGAAUCAUCCAAACAUGAAUGAACCAGUGAGGCCAGGGUCCCCCUGGGUGGUCCCCCUCCAUCCUCCCAAGGCGAUUAAGGAAAGCUCUCACACUCUCAUGCUUGGUGCCAGGGCCUCCCCUGCCUGGGGCUGAGGACCUCCCAGCAAGCAAGCCCACAAUGCAGUGAAAUAAGGGUUCUGGGGAGUGGGGAGGAGCCCAGGCAGGAACCUGCAGAGCCACCCAAGCUAACGUGGCAUUGAAAUUACCAAUAUUAGAAAAUAAAGGCUUUAGGGCACUCAUCAGGCUCAACCUCCCUGUUCAGGUCUCUGUACAAACAUCACCUCCGACGGAACUCCCUGCUUAGGACUGCACCCCUGCCCUGACAGAGCUCUACUCUCCUGCUCUAUUUUACUCCAUAGCAUUAUCACCAUCUGACAUGCCACGUAUUUUGCCCUCUUUCUCGUUUAUUGUCUGUGUUCCAUGAGGGUAAAAGUCCUAUGCUUUAUUCAGUGCUAGCCCAUAGAAAGCAGGUUCUCAUAGAAUGUUUGCACUGAAAGCAUCCAUGAAUAAUAAUAACAGCAACGACAACUAGCAUGUAUUUAGCACUAACCACGUGCCAGGCUCUGUUCUAAAUAAUUCUGAUCAAUAUAUAUUGAAUGAAUUUUUUUUAACCUGAUUGUCAAUUCCAUCAAAUCGUCAUGUUGACUAAAGGUUGCUUUUGGCGAAACUGUCUGCAACUGGCAAAGCUACAUGCUCCACUCUUUCCACGUGUCAGGGAAUUUCAUUCGCAAGACAGUUUUGUAAGGGGGUACUCUUAUUGCGUUCAUUCUGGGUAUAAGUGACUUGGGCUCAGAGCAGUUGAGUCACUAGCCCAGGAUCACUCAUGGGUUUGAGCUUGGGUGGCUCCGUCUGUGGCUUAACCACAGCCUGCUCUGCCUGGUCCAGUUGCCUGUGGUAUCUGGCUGUCACCUUCUGUCCCUGGGCUCUGCCUCCACAGAUUCUGGCCUUCCAGGAAGCCACCACUGUUGAAAACCUCUAAUGUCCAGUCACAAGUGUGGUCUAACAAUUCCUGCCCACGGGGGCUCCAACCGCAAUGGACCCCACCAGUCCCAGCUUCAGGAACCAGCCCUGCAUAGACUCAGGAGCCAAGGACCUGCAGUGGGGGAGACCCAGAGAGGCCCAGCAGCCUGCCCCAAGUCACACAGCACACUCAAGCAUCCUUGAGACACCUUGCUCUUAUCUUUGGGUCCUCAUGCCACUGGGAAAAAGGGGGCACAUUCCCAAAGCUAGUUUCCAGAAUGAUGGGAAGGAGAGCACUGAGUCUUUCCUUGCUUGGUCCUGCGCCGGGGAGUGUGGUGGGGUAAAGGGAUCCUGAUUUCCUCAGGCCAGGUCUGAGGAGCACAGUGGCCAGUCUGAGUUCUGUUCCAGAUGAUGGCUGUGACCUCCCUCCAGCAACCCCAGCUGCUCCCUGACUGGUCCUCUGGCCUCAGUCUGCUGCCUCCCAAGGGCUCCCCAAGCCUGUGGCUAAGGCUGGCCUGCCCGGACCUUGCCUAAGUCCAGGGCAUGGGUCUGAGGGGAUGCCCAGCCCAAGGCCCAGCUCAGGUACUACUGGCUGAGGUGUCUCAUCUCCUCUGUGCUGGUCUCUUUAUAGUCCCCCAACUCCAGCUCAUCCUUGCCAGUCAGGCCACCUCCCACAGGUGGCCAGCGUGACCUAAAUACGAAUCUAGGCUGGUGAUGCCUUAAGACCCUUCCAUGGCUCCCCUCUGCCCUUGGCACAAGCCCAAACUCUGGCUGUGACCUGGAAGGCCCUGCACUUCCUGGCCCCGACAAGCUCUGGAACCUCAGGGGUCUGUAGCCUUUGUGUCCACAGCCCCUCCACCUUCCCUUGAACCCAAUGCUGUCUACCUUCCUACAAGCCUUAGUCAUGGCCUCCUUGGGAAACCUUCUCUGACCCCCUCAAUGAUCACUGAUCAAGUGACCUUCCUUUGUGCCUCCACAGUCCCUUGGGCUUCCCCCAGCCCCUGUGAGGUUGUAAAUGCCUGUCUGUCCCCCACCAGACUCUGAGCUCCCUGGAAAAGCCACCUUGGCCCUUGUCUCCAUUGUCACCUUUUAGCUUGAUUUGCAGUUGAUGCCAGUGUUUUUGCUUUGUUGUUUUUCAAGGCUGGAGUGCAGUGGUGUGAUCAUGGCUCACUGCAGCCUCAGCCACUUGUUUUCAAGUGAUCUGCCUCAGCCCCCUGAGUAGCUGGGACUAUAGGUGUGUGCCGCCAUGCCCAGCUAAUUUUUUAUUUUUUGUAGAGACAGGAUCUUACUGUUUCCCAGCCUGGUCCUGAACUCCUGGGCUCAAGCAAUCCUCCUACCUUGGCCUCCCAAAGUGUUGGGAUUACAGGCACCCAGCCAUCAGUGUUGUUUGUUGAAUGAAUGAAUGAACAAAUGAAUAAAUGAUGUGGGUCUGUUUCCCUAACUAUAAGUGAAGAGUUAGGUUAGCCUCAUAGCUCUUUCUAUAAUGGGUCCUCUCUCUGCUUCCCGUAAUUCCUCAUGUCAUACUGGACUUCUCCAUAACCACAGACCCACUGUAUCUGAUAUGGUUUGGCUCUGUGUCCCCACCCAAAUCUCAUGUUGAAUUAUAAUCUCUAAUAUUGGGGGAGGGACCUGGUGGGAGGUGAUUGGAUCAUGGGGGAAGAUUUCCCCCUUACUGUUCUUAUGGUAGUGAGUUUUCACGAGAUCUGGUUGUUUGAAAGUGUGUAGCACUUCCCCCUUCAUUCUCUCUCUCUCCUGCUCCGCCAUGGUAAGAUGUGCUUGCUUCCCCUUCGCCCUUCUGCCAUGAUUGUAAGUUUCCUGAGGCCUCCCAGUCAUGCUUCCUAUACAGACUGCAGGGCUGUGAGUCAAACCACUUUUCUUCAUAAAUGCCCCAGUCUCAGGUAGUUCUUUACAGCAGUGCUGAGAACAGACUAAUACAGCAUUUUACUGGGCACUUAUGCCAUGAAUCAGAUAUUGCUCACAGCCUUGACCCUCACUAGAACUCAGUGGGAAGGAAACUGUGUCCCCCACUUAAUUGACUGAAAACCAGAGUGGUCCAGAGAGGGAACAGGACUUGCCCAGAGUCCUAGCGUAGAUCUGUGGCACAAGAAGCCAGGCCUCCUGAUCCCCACCAGCGCCAGGACCCAUAGUGACACAGAGUGAGCCCCUUGACCACCCAUCUCCCUGUGCUCCAGGCCAAAUCAGUUUCCCUCAUGCCUCCUUCAUGGAGAUGCUUGCCAUUCAACUCCCCCACCGCCUACCCAAUGGCAUAUAGCAGUUGCUUAAUCAAAACUUGUAUAAUAUGUGAAAGGAGGCUGGCUCACGCCUAGAAUCCCAGCACUUUGGGAGGCCGAGGCAGGUGGAUCACAAGGUCAGGAGAUCGAGACCAUCCUGGGUAACAUAGUGAAACCCCAUCUCUACUAAAAAAAAAAAAAAAAAUACAAAAAUUAGCUGGGCGUGGUGGCGUGUGCCUGUAAUCCCAGCUACUUGGGCGGCUGAGGCAGGAGAAUCGCUUGAACCCAGGAGGCGGAGGUUGCAGUGAGCUGAGAUUGCAUCACUGCACUCCAGCCUGGUGACAAAGCUAGACUCCGUCUCAAAAAAACAAAACAAAACAAAACAAAAAACCAUGAAAGGAGAUGGGAGAUGGAAGCUUGGGAUAUUCCAGACUGGAAGGGGACACACAUCUGUGCCAAGAGUCCUAGCCCUUCCUCCCUCUAAUUUCCCACGGGGAAAUAACUGAUAACCCCAGAGGAUAGAACCAACCAGACUUGGAGCUGAUGCCUCUCUUUAUUCAUGUAUUUCAUCCCCUGCUGCCUGGUCACACAGCAGUCUCCUGGGUUCCCACUUGGCCUUCAAUGGGGAGGGAGGACUUGGCCUGGGCUCCGUGCGCCCUCACUGCAGGGUGGCUGGCUGCGGCCACGUCGCAGGGAGCUGCCAAUCUGGUCUCUGAGGGCCUCCAGUCUCUGGGCCAGGUUUGGAACCCCGGCCCCACCUAAGGAGCAGUGAGACUCGAGGCCUGCCCUCUCCAGGGCCCUUCCUCACCCAGGUCCAUCUGGGUCCCAACACCCUCUGGAGAAGCCUCAGGGGGUAGGUACCCUCCACCCUUCCCCCCACCCCACCCCCAUACACCAUGGGCUCCAACAUACAUCUGGGCACGCAGAUGCUCCUAAAAAGAGAAUUCCAAGUUUGGGAAGUAGAAAGAUCUUAGAAGCCACCUCUCAACACCCACCCCAUUUCAGAGAUAAGACUGAGGCCUGGAGAGGGUGGGUUCUACCCCAAGAUCACAGAGAACAUUAGGGGCCCCUCCCUCUCUCCCUUCUUCACCUCUGAGCCCUGGUGAUGUCUUCGGGGGCCUCACAGGCAGGGGAGGUGCAGAAGGUACCACCUCCUCCUCCGUCAACAUCUCUGCCAGGACUCGGGUCUGAGUCCAGUCACUGUGACUCCUGGGCCAGGGUGAGUUGGGAGAUGGGAGGUGAGCCUUUGAGUUCCCCAGACCACCCCUCUCUGACCUCAGUGCCCCAGGAGAGACCCACCUCUCUCUUGGGCACUUGGCAGAGCCAGGGCUGCAUGGGGGUGCCCAGGGUGGGGGCCGGGCAGAUGGGGGCCUGCCACCUGAGGCCUCAGGGUCCAACACCUGUAGGAAAGACCAGAGUCCACUCUGGGUGACCUCAGUCCUGCCUCUCUGUGUCCCACCUACCUGGUGCUAGCCAUGACACCCCACCAUGCCUACCCCACAAGGUACCAAGAAUGUCAGGAUGGCAUAAAGGGGUGGGGUCUUGGUCGCCUUCUGUGUGCAGCAGAUGGUUCUUCUACCGUCCUCUCCUGAGACUAGAAGCCUCCUGAGAGCAGGAACCACGUCUGGUCUAUUUCUGACUCCUCAGAGCCCAGAAGAGAGGCUGGUAUAAAGCAAGGAGCUUGGGGAGUUACUGAAGGAGUAAGUGAAUGUAUGAUUCAGUAAAUCCAUAAGUGAGUAGAUAUGUGAGUGAAUGAAUAAGUGAAUGACAGAAUGAAUUCCUGGCCCUGACAGGGCAGGGUGAGGAGGGGGGAGGGUGAGGCAAACAGCUAUUUCAAACCAGGGCAGAGGGAGCCCUAGGCCAGCCAUUCACUCCCCAUGAUCUAGCCUGCAGCCCUGGAAUCCCUGGGGCUCUGGAUUGAUGACUCCUGGAUCAAGGUCUCCAGUUCUCCCAGCCUUCCCUCACUCCCACCAUGGCCUUUCCUACCUGGGGCAGGUGGUGCUCCCCUGGCAGGCAGGCCCAGUGGGCCAGGGGCACUCGACACAGUGGGCAGAUGUGGCAGCAGGGGCAGGAGUAG
rnacentral:lncRNA from 10 species